rnacentral:rRNA from 1 species
ACGGCUCAGUAACACGUGGACAACCUGCCCUUAGGUUGGGUAUAAACCCGGGAAACUGGGUAUAAUACCCGAUUGGUCUCGAUUGCUGGAAUGCAUCGAGAUUUAAAGCUCCGGCGCCUAAGGAUGGGUCUGCGGCCUAUCAGGUAGUAGUGGGUGUAGCGUACCUACUAGCCUACGACGGGUACGGGUUGUGAGAGCAAGAGCCCGGAGAUGGAUUCUGAGACGCGAAUCCAGGCCCUACGGGGUGCAGCAGGCGCGAAAACUUUACAAUGCUGGCAACAGCGAUAAGGGAACCUCGAGUGCCAGGUUACAAAUCUGGCUGUCGAGAUGCCUAAAAAGCAUUUCAUAGCAAGGGCCGGGCAAGACCGGUGCCAGCCGCCGCGGUAACACCGGCGGCUCGAGUGGUAACCGUUAUUAUUGGGUCUAAAGGGUCUGUAGCCGGCCGGAUAAGACUCUUGAGAAAUCUGGCAGCUUAACUGUCAGGCUUUCAGGAGAUACUGUCUGGCUCGAGGCCGGGAGAGGUGAGAGGUACUUCAGGGGUAGGGGUGAAAUCUUGUAAUCCUUGAAGGACCACCAGUGGCGAAGGCGUCUCACCAGAACGGACCUGACGGCAAGGGACGAAAGCUAGGGGCACGAACCGGAUUAGAUACCCGGGUAGUCCUAGCCGUAAACGAUACUCGCUAGGUGUCGGCCACGGUGCGACCGUUGUCGGUGCCGUAGGGAAGCCGUGAAGCGAGCCACCUGGGAAGUACGGCCGCAAGGCUGAAACUUAAAGGAAUUGGCGGGGGAGCAC